CGCCACGUCGAUGCAUCUCCUCUCCACCCUUCCGUUCAUUCCAGCGCCUCUCUUUCUCUCUCUAUAAGGACGUGGUCUUUCUCUCUGUAGUCGCCGUUUCCUUUACUUCCUCGCAGUACCGACAAAACCCUUUCCCCCGGUUGCAAGAUGAGCGAUCCAAAGUACGCAUACCCUUAUCCUGCUCAAGGCUAUUAUCAAGGGCCACCUGUGAUGGCGCCACCACAGUAUGCUGCUCCACCACCACGAAGACAGGCUGGUUUUCUUGAAGGAUGUCUCGCUGCUCUGUGUUGUUGCUGCCUCAUUGACGAGUGUUGCUGUGACCCAUCAAUAAUAUUUAUCAGCUGAUCACAAUCUCGUUCCAAGAUUGUUAUGCCCUUUUUAUUUAUGUGUGAUUUAAAUAAAAACUCUCAAAGAUUAUGAUGUAAAAAGUUUCUUUAGGACCAAGUUUGUGUCAUAUAAAAAAUCUUUGCAGCCUCUGUAUACUGUGAUCGUGGAACAGCUUCAUCGAUAGUAUUCCUUGCUUGUGUA